UACGAGGGGUGCAAGCGUUGCUCGGAAUUAUUGGGCGUAAAGGGUAGGUAGGUGGUCUCAUUUGUCUGGGGUGAAAUCCUUGGGCUUAACCUAAGAAGUGCCUCAGAAACGGUGAGACUGGAGUCCUGGAGAGGGUCGUGGAAUUCCCGGUGUAGCGGUGAAAUGCGUAGAGAUCGGGAGGAACACCAGAGGCGAAGGCGGCUCACUGGCUCAUUACUGACGCUCAGGCGCGACAGCGUGGGGAUCAAACAGG
rnacentral:rRNA from 1 species